rnacentral:rRNA from 1 species
UACAGAGGGGGCAAGCGUUGUUCGGAAUUACUGGGCGUAAAGGGCGCGUAGGCGGCCUUCUAAGUCGAACGUGAAAUCCCCGGGCUCAACCCGGGAACUGCGUCCGAUACUGGGAGGCUUGAAUCCGGGAGAGGGAUGCGGAAUUCCAGGUGUAGCGGUGAAAUGCGUAGAUAUCUGGAGGAGCACCAGUGGCGAAGGCGACUACCUGGCCUGUUCUUGACGCUGAGGCGCGAAAGCUAGGGGAGCAAACGGG